AAACCAACCGGGAUUGCCUUAGUAACGGCGAGUGAAGCGGCAAAAGCUCAAAUUUGAAAUCUGGUACCUUCGGUGCCCGAGUUGUAAUUUGGAGAGGGCAACUUUGGGGCCGUUCCUUGUCUAUGUUCCUUGGAACAGGACGUCAUAGAGGGUGAGAAUCCCGUGUGGCGUGGAGUGCGGUUCUUUGUAAAGUGCCUUCGAAGAGUCGAGUUGUUUGGGAAUGCAGCUCUAAGUGGGUGGUAAAUUCCAUCUAAAGCUAAAUAUUGGCGAGAGACCGAUAGCGAACAAGUACAGUGAUGGAAAGAUGAAAAGAACUUUGAAAAGAGAGUGAAAAAGUACGUGAAAUUGUUGAAAGGGAAGGGCAUUUGAUCAGACAUGGUGUUUUGUGCCCUCUGCUCCUUGUGGGUAGGGGAAUCUCGCAUUUCACUGGGCCAGCAUCAGUUUUGGUGGCAGGAUAAAUCCAUAGGAAUGUAGCUUGCCUCGGUAAGUAUUAUAGCCUGUGGGAAUACUGCCAGCUGGGACUGAGGACUGCGACGUAAGUCAAGGAUGCUGGCAUAAUGGUUAUAUACCGC
rnacentral:rRNA from 1 species